rnacentral:lncRNA from 1 species
UAGUGAUGAGAGGAAAGGAAAAAGGCCGCGGUAGCAGCAAUGCCAGAGGUGAAGAGCCGCAGCGGCGGCAGGGGAGGGAAAUGCACCGCAAGAACAGCAAUUUGCUGUAGCUAUGAAAGGAAAGGAAAAAGGCCGCGGUAGCAGCAAUGCCAGAGGUGAAGAGCCGCAGCGGCGGCAGGGGAGGGAAAUGCACCGCAAGAACAGCAAUUUGCUGUAGCGAUGAGAGGAAAGGAAAAAGGCCGCGGUGGCAGCAAUGCCAGAGGUGAAGAGCCGCAGCGGCGGCAGGGGAGGGAAAUGCACCGCAAGAACAGCAAUUUGCUGUAAUAAAGGCUGUAAUGCCAGAUGUGACGGCGACGGCGACCUCGCCGAAGGCGAGAAGGCGACGCGAUGGCGAGACGCC